GCUUCCAUUGGCGCAGUUGGUUAGCGCGUGGCACUUAAAAGACUAAGAAAUGCCAAGGUCGGGUGUUCGAUCCUCCCAUGGAGCA
rnacentral:tRNA from 1 species